rnacentral:misc_RNA from 1 species
AGUCGUAACAAGGUUUCCGUAGGUGAACCUGCGGAAGGAUCAUUACCGAGUGCGGGCUGCCUCCGGGCGCCCAACCUCCCACCCGUGACUACCUAACACUGUUGCUUCGGCGGGGAGCCCCCCAGGGGGCGAGCCGCCGGGGACCACUGAACUUCAUGCCUGAGAGUGAUGCAGUCUGAGCCUGAAUACAAAUCAGUCAAAACUUUCAACAAUGGAUCUCUUGGUUCCGGCAUCGAUGAAGAACGCAGCGAACUGCGAUAAGUAAUGUGAAUUGCAGAAUUCAGUGAAUCAUCGAGUCUUUGAACGCACAUUGCGCCCCCUGGCAUUCCGGGGGGCAUGCCUGUCCGAGCGUCAUUGCUGCCCUCAAGCCCGGCUUGUGUGUUGGGUCGUCGUCCCCCCCCCGGGGGACGGGCCCGAAAGGCAGCGGCGGCACCGUGUCCGGUCCUCGAGCGUAUGGGGCUUUGUCACCCGCUCGAUUAGGGCCGGCCGGGCGCCAGCCGGCGUCUCCAACCUUAUUUUUCUCAGGUUGACCUCGGAUCAGGUAGGGAUACCCGCUGAACUUAAGCAUAUCAAUAA